CGGCGAAUCUGGCUAGCCUUGCCGCUCUGUUGAUCGAGAUCAACGAUAAUCCCUUGAAGCACGACGUUGUCUUGCGCGACCUCGAAUUUCCUCGGCAAUUGACUGAUAAAACCGUUGAUGACGAUUUCCUUUUCCAUCCCGAUGACGGAAUCGAACGGGCCGCACAUGCCGACAUCGGUGAUGUACGCCGUGCCUUUCGUUAGAAUGCGGUCGUCGGCCGUUUGAACAUGAGUAUGCGUUCCGUAAACCGCGGAGGCUCGCCCGUCGAGGUACCAUCCCAUGGCAUAUUUCUCAGAGGUCGCUUCGGCGU
rnacentral:misc_RNA from 1 species